rnacentral:lncRNA from 1 species
UUUAAGAUUAUUCCUGCUGGGAAUAGAGCGUAUCCUGCUGCCUGAGUUCCCCUUGAGUUCUCACGGGAUUCAGACAGUAUUUUUUGGGAGACAGAAGCCCAGUGGAUGUGGAUUUGGGCAGAGAACGUGGAUUUCCCCAGAACGUGAUUGUAGACGGCUGGUGUGAGAUCGGGAAUAAAGAGUUGCUGUCUGAAUCUACAAGCUGUGUCGUGGCUCAUAAUUGUGUGCCCAGCCAGACUGCAGCAUUUGUGCCCAGCCAGACUGCGGCAGAAAACAGUAGAGGAAUGGGAAAUCCUACCAGCAUAUUCAAGGGAUAUUAUAGCAUUAACCAUAUAUUGACUGUCAGAAACUAAAUUAAAUACAGAAUCUUUAAACAUCACAAAAGCUUGUAAUACUGCAUUAAGCUCUACCUUUUGAGCUGAUUGUUUCAGUAGUAAAACUGUAAAAGCUUGAGCAGAGGUAACUACUGAUGCUGUACCAUUAUAUGACCCAUCAGUAAAUAUUAUUGGAGCAUUCAUGAUACGUGUUUUUCCUGUCAUUUUUGGAAAAAAUACAGGAUGUGAGGACCAAAAAGACAACAAAGGAUUAGGUGGUAAGUGGUUUUCAAAUGAACAAAUAGAUUUUCACAUGAUUAUUGCCCAAGUAUUUAACUCAUUAGCUACCAUAUCAAUUUGAUCCAUAGUAUAUGGAGUAAUAAUUUUAUUAGGAGAAAUUCCAAACACUCCCUUUGCUGUUUUUAUUCCUUUGAGUAUUAAUUGCCCCACAGCCUCAGGAUACCUAGUAAGAAUAGUGUUAGGAGAAUAAGAUAAAUGUAUCCAUAAUAAAGGACCUUCUUGCCAAAGUACUCCUGUAGGAAUAUUUUCGUGGGUAAUACAAUAAAUAACAGAGGCAAACUUAUAUAAAUUCUAUCCAGAUUCAUAUUUUGCAUAUAUGUUUCAAUGAGUUUUAAUGUUUUUCUCACUUCAGGUGUUAACAUGCGGGGUAAAUUUGGAUCUGAU